GCAGAUGGCGUCUUCGUUGGGAAGAGACCAGUUAUUAAAACUGGUUACGUUGGUUCAAUUCCAACUAUCUGCG
rnacentral:tRNA from 1 species